rnacentral:tRNA from 6 species
GGAGACGUCGCAUAGCCCGGUCGAGUGCGCCUCACUGCUAACGAGGUAAGGGGUUAAACCCUUCAGGAGUUCAAAUCUCCUCGUCUCCG